rnacentral:rRNA from 1 species
GACGAACGCUGGCGGCGUGCUUCAUACAUGCAAGUCGAACGAGAAGUUACCUUCGGGUGAUGGAAAGUGGCGGACGGGUGAGUAAAAUGUAGAGAAUCUGCCUUUGAGUGGGGGACAACAGUUGGAAACGAUUGCUAAUACCCCAUAUGAGUAUAUUUGAAAUAAUAUACUUGAAAACUCCGGUGCUCAAAGAUGAGUCUGCAUCUGAUUAGCUAGUUGGGGGUGUAAUGGACCACCAAGGCGACGAUCAGUAGCUGGUUUGAGAGGAUGAUCAGCCACAAUGGGACUGAGACACGGCCCAU